UGGGGAAUAUUGCACAAUGGGGGAAACCCUGAUGCAGCCAUGCCGCGUGUGUGAAGAAGGCCUUCGGGUUGUAAAGCACUUUCAGUCGUGAGGAAGGGUGUGCAGUUAAUAGCUGUACAUUUUGACGUUAGCGACAGAAGAAGCACCGGCUAACUCCGUGCCAGCAGCCGCGGUAAUACGGAGGGUGCGAGCGUUAAUCGGAAUUACUGGGCGUAAAGCGCAUGCAGGCGGUCUGUUAAGCAAGAUGUGAAAGCCCGGGGCUCAACCUCGGAACAGCAUUUUGAACUGGCAGACUAGAGUCUUGUAGAGGGGGGUAGAAUUUCAGGUGUAGCGGUGAAAUGCGUAGAGAUCUGAAGGAAUACCGGUGGCGAAGGCGGCCCCCUGGACAAAGACUGACGCUCAGAUGCGAAAGCGUGGGGAGCAAACAGGAUUAGAUACCCCCGUAGUCC
rnacentral:rRNA from 1 species